UAUUCCUUAUUCUUCUCACACCAGACAGUCUAAGUUGUCCUAAUUGCUUAUCCAAAUAAGAUUUGGUGUCCAUCCGUCUGUCUUGAUCUUCUCUUCUGCAGUUCUCUGUUGCAUCGACCCCCUUACUACGUCUAGCUUCUAUUACACGGGACGGGUUUAGGUCUAACGGCACUCUCCAAACCCAAAAGUUUUGAAACAUGCAAUGCAAACAUGAUGCAACGAUUCCUACGUACUUUCAGACUCAUAUACACACUCGUAGAAAAAUUGGUGGCAUCGUAAUCUCUCC
rnacentral:lncRNA from 1 species